CAGAGGGUGCAAGCGUUGUUCGGAAUUAUUGGGCGUAAAGGGCGCGUAGGCGGUGCGGUAAGUCUUUUGUGAAAUCUCCGGGCUCAACUCGGAGUCUGCAGGAGAAACUGCCGUGCUUGAGUAUGGGAGAGGUGAGUGGAAUUCCUGGUGUAGCGGUGAAAUGCGUAGAUAUCAGGAGGAACACCUGUGGCGAAAGCGGCUCACUGGACCAUUACUGACGCUGAGGCGCGAAAGCUAGGGGAGCAAACAGGAUUAGAUACCCUGGUAGUCCUAGCCCUAAACGAUGAUUGCUUGGUGUGGCAGGUACCCAAUCCUGCUGUGCCGAAGCUAACGCGAUAAGCAAUCCGCCUGGGGAGUACGGUCGCAAGGCUG
rnacentral:rRNA from 1 species